ensembl:lncRNA
GGCAUGGGAACUGCAUCUGUGCACGCUGGCAUCCUUGUCCGUUCCUCACGUGGUAUUUGGUAUUUGGAGCCUGCAGCACAGCACCUUUGCCAGGCACACUGACUGUCAGUGCUUGGGGCUUUGGGGGAGCCCACAAGGGACCUGCAGAGAUUUUGACAAGUCUUACAUGUUUUCUGCUCCAUUCUUUGGGUCAAGAACACGCUGGUUAAUAGCCAAUUAUUUCAUACCCUAAGGAAGUUUUGGGAAAGAAGUUCCUGAGAAGACAACUUGUUUUAGGAAAUCGGGCUAAUAUUCAGUAGCUUUAAAGGAAAACACAAAGAAGGAAACAUGGGACAGCCUCCUGCUCCUCUCCCACCCCCCGUAAUGUCAUGAGUAUUUUCAACAAGCAAAACUGACCUGCACGUUCCACUCAUAGCUAAUCAUCAUAACGGAAACUACAGUGCAUUCAUCAUUUUCCUUGAAGUUUGCAGCACUUAUCAUGAAGGAAUUGCAUCUUUGCAGCAUGAAUCCAGCCCAGUUUGUUCCUCCUCACAGCACCUGUCAAGAAGAGUGCUUUGACUUUCCAGGAGACAAAAUGAAUUUCUUAGAUGCACCACUGAUAUCCCUCAGCAUUCUGCAGCCCAGCGCAUACAGCCUGGGGAAGUCUUGUAGAUCCUCCACAAAGCACUGACUCAAGGGAAGAAGACAUCUCUGAAUUCUGAGUUCGAAUAACCUGGGUCCAACCAGCAGGAGCUUUUUCUCUGUGAGAUUAAAUAUGUAAGAUUUUAUAACCCAGUUUAAACAUGUCCCAUGCAAAAUUCAGGAUUGGUUUUCAGUAUGUAAUUUUCCUUUAAUUUUUAAACAAGUUCUUGCAAUGAUGUUAAUUUUAUUAUCUGUAUUGAUGGAAUGAUGAAGAAAUCAAAAUACAAAAAUCUACAGAUAAAUUGAUAUUUAAUCAUUAAUCUAUUCCUGUCAAUGAAAUUUUAACCAAUCAUAAAUUUAAAUGUAAUCAGAACUAAAUCUGUCACUAUAUAAUUAGAUUGCUGAGUUGUGAGGUAGCAGAAAUCCAUUAUCUUUACAUAAACUUCUAGUUUCCAAGGCAAUUUAGUCUCUAAUCUCAUAAGAGCUGGCAGUUAAGUAAGCGUGUUUUUCUAUCAAGUUUAAUGUAGAGAAAAACAAAAUUCAAAAUGAAGGACAAAAAGAAAAUUAUGGAACAGUAACAAAAUUAAGUUAGUUCAAAAGUUUUUUUUUUAUUAAACAUAAAUUCUACGGGGAAAAAUAAUAAUACAAGAAUGUUUGGAAGAAAUUUUCAAUAUUAUUAGGACACUCCACUGAUGUAAGCGUUUUAAUCCAAUGCUUCUUAUCGUUAAUGAAUGGACUCUAUUAAUGGAGCCUCCAGAUACUUUCUUUCACUUUGCAAAUCUACUUACAGGAAGGUUUAGAAAUAAUGCAAAAGCAGCUUACAUGAAAAAGAAAUUAAAAGAACUGAUUUGGGAGGAAGGGAAAUAGACAACCCUCAUUUGCAUUUAAAGGAAAUCUAUUCCAUUGAUCUAGCUUUUAGCCAAACAAAAAGUAAAAAUAUAUAGAUUAGUAAAAAUAUAUAGAUUAUAGUUCUGCAAAUGGAGGGUUCAUUUUGAGCUACAUUGAUUUUCAAUUUAUGGAAUAGGUUGUGAUUAAAAAUAAAUAAACACCAUCCCAGCUCCCCGAAUUACGUAUUACUUUAAUGUAUUGAGUUUUUUUCCUUCAUGUGAAAGAGAGAAAAAACAACCAAACAAAAAUAAACAAACAAAAAACCCUAACAAACAAAAAAA